CCUACGGGGUGCAGCAGUAGGGAAUUUUCCACAAUGGGCGAAAGCCUGAUGGAGCAACGCCGCGUGGGUGAAGAAGGUCUUCGGAUCGUAAAACCCUGUUGUUAGAGAAGAAAGUGCGUGAGAGUAACUGUUCACGUUUCGACGGUAUCUAACCAGAAAGCCACGGCUAACUACGUGCCAGCAGCCGCGGUAAUACGUAGGUGGCAAGCGUUAUCCGGAUUUAUUGGGCGUAAAGGGAACGCAGGCGGUCUUUUAAGUCUGAUGUGAAAGCCUUCGGCUUAACCGGAGUAGUGCAUUGGAAACUGGGAGACUGGAGUGCAGAAGAGGAGAGUGGAACUCCAUGUGGAGCGGUGAAAUGCGUAGAUAUAUGGAAGAACACCAGUGGCGAAAGCGGCUCUCUGGUCUGUAUCUGACGCUGAGGUUCGAAAGCGUGGGUAGCAAACAGGAUUAGAGACCCGGGUAGUC
rnacentral:rRNA from 1 species